rnacentral:rRNA from 1 species
UGGGGAAUCUUGCGCAAUGGGCGAAAGCCUGACGCAGCGACGCCGCGUGCGGGAAGAAGGCCUUCGGGUUGUAAACCGCUUUCAGGAGGGACGAGGCCACUCGGGUUAAUAGCCCAGAGGGUGACGGUACCUCCAGAAGAAGCCCCGGCUAACUACGUGCCAGCAGCCGCGGUAAUACGUAGGGGGCUAGCGUUGUCCGGAUUUAUUGGGCGUAAAGAGCGCGUAGGCGGCCGAGUAAGUCCGACGUGAAAUCUGGAGGCUCAACCUCCAGCGGUCGUUGGAAACUACUCGGCUAGAGCCCGGAAGAGGAGAGUGGAAUUCCUGGUGUAGCGGUGAAAUGCGCAGAUAUCAGGAAGAACACCGAUGGCGAAGGCAGCUCUCUGGGACGGUACUGACGCUGAGGCGCGAAAGCGUGGGGAGCGAACAGGAUUAGAUACCCUGGUAGUCCACGCCGUAAACGAUGGGUGCUAGGUGUGGGCGGUGUCGACUCCGCCCGUGCCGAAGCUAACG